UAUUUCAAAGUUGUAUUGUGAUAGGUA
rnacentral:piRNA from 1 species